AUUGAACGCUGGCGGCAGGCCUAACACAUGCAAGUCGAGCGGAUGAAGGGAGCUUGCUCCUGGAUUCAGCGGCGGACGGGUGAGUAAUGCCUAGGAAUCUGCCUGGUAGUGGGGGAUAACGUCCGGAAACGGGCGCUAAUACCGCAUACGUCCUGAGGGAGAAAGUGGGGGAUCUUCGGACCUCACGCUAUCAGAUGAGCCUAGGUCGGAUUAGCUAGUUGGUGGGGUAAAGGCCUACCAAGGCGACGAUCCGUAACUGGUCUGAGAGGAUGAUCAGUCACACUGGAACUGAGACACGGUCCAGACUCCUACGGGAGGCAGCAGUGGGGAAUAUUGGACAAUGGGCGAAAGCCUGAUCCAGCCAUGCCGCGUGUGUGAAGAAGGUCUUCGGAUUGUAAAGCACUUUAAGUUGGGAGGAAGGGAAGUAAGUUAAUACCUUGCUGUUUUGACGUUACCAACAGAAUAAGCACCGGCUAACUUCGUGC
rnacentral:rRNA from 1 species